rnacentral:rRNA from 1 species
CCCUGAUCCAGCCAUGCCGCGUGUGUGAAGAAGGCCCUCGGGUUGUAAAGCACUUUCAGCGAGGAAGAACGCCUAGCGGUUAAUACCCGCUAGGAAAGACAUCACUCGCAGAAGAAGCACCGGCUAACUCCGUGCCAGCAGCCGCGGUAAUACGGAGGGUGCAAGCGUUAAUCGGAAUUACUGGGCGUAAAGCGCGCGUAGGUGGCUUGAUAAGCCGGUUGUGAAAGCCCCGGGCUCAACCUGGGAACGGCAUCCGGAACUGUCAAGCUAGAGUGCAGGAGAGGAAGGUAGAAUUCCCGGUGUAGCGGUGAAAUGCGUAGAGAUCGGGAGGAAUACCAGUGGCGAAGGCGGCCUUCUGGACUGACACUGACACUGAGGUGCGAAAGCGUGGGUAGCAAACAGGAUUAGAUACCCUGGUAGUCCACGCCGUAAACGAUGUCGACCAGCCGUUGGGUGCCUAGCGCACUUUGUGGCGAAGUUAACGCGAUAAGUCGACCGCCUGGGGAGUACGGCCGCAAGGUUAAAACUCAAAUGAAUUGACGGGGGCCCGCACAAGCGGUGGAGCAUGUGGUUUAAUUCGAUGCAACGCGAAGAACCUUACCUACUCUUGACAUCCUGCGAAUUUGGUAGAGAUACCUUAGUGCCUUCGGGAACGCAGAGACAGGUGCUGCAUGGCUGUCGUCAGCUCGUGUUGUGAAAUGUUGGGUUAAGUCCCGUAACGAGCGCAACCCUUGUCCUUAUUUGCCAGCGCGUAAUGGCGGGAACUCUAAGGAGACUGCCGGUGACAAACCGGAGGAAGGUGGGGACGACGUCAAGUCAUCAUGGCCCUUACGAGUAGGGCUACACACGUGCUACAAUGGUCGGUACAAAGGGUUGCCAACUCGCGAGAGUGAGCCAAUCCCGAAAAGCCGAUCUCAGUCCGGAUCGGAGUCUGCAACUCGACUCCGUGAAGUCGGGAUCGCUAGUAAUCGUGGAUCAGAAUGCCACGGUGAAUACGUUCCCGGGCCUUGUACAC